UACGAGAGGCCCAAACGUUAUUCGGAUUUACUGGGCUUAAAGAGUUCGUAGGCGGUCCAUCAAGUGGGGUGUGAAUCCCUCGGCUCAACCGAGGAAUUGCGCUCCAAACUGUUGGGCUCGAGGGAGAUAGAGGUGAGCGGAACUGAUGGUGGAGCGGUGAAAUGCGUUGAUAUCAUCAGGAACACCAGAGGCGAAGCGGCUCUGGGUCUCUCUGACGCUGGAGGAACGAAAGCUAGGGGAGCAAACGGG
rnacentral:rRNA from 1 species